rnacentral:lncRNA from 1 species
CUACUUGUUUGUUGUUUGAAAACGUGAGUGAGUUGAAAGGGUUAAGUAACACAAUCAUACGACUAUGGGGGGGGGGUCCCUAUCUACUCAACGCUAAAACCCGAGGAACAGAGGGUGAGAGGAGGUGGGGAAGAGGGAAGGAUUCACGCACUCAGGAUGCACACUGCAAAGGGUGCAGCUGGAAGGGGCCGGCAUCAGACGAUCCCGAAGCGCUCUGCUCUUUUCCUCUUCUUUGCCUCUGUGUCCUCUGUGGCUCCAGCCCCGGCUGAACUCGUCACGAUGCCAAACCGCUCCUUCCUCUUCUUCAGUUUCUCAUCCUCUUCGCUCUUCUUGGAGAGCGAAGAGACAUUCAACCCAAAUCUCUGAGCCCUUUCCUUUAAUUUAUCCAUGUUUACCGUAGGUUUGCUGUCUGCAGAGAGGCCUUUUGUCGAAACUGUGGCCAAACCAAACCGAGCUGCACGCGCUGCCUUCUUGCUCUCCAGGCUCACGGGCACGUUGAAGCGCUCAGCCCUCUUCUGCAUUCUCUCCAUCUGCGAGAUUUCUGACGUUAUUUUCACUACUUUCUUUUCCGUGCUCACGUCAGGCGAUUUUACAGGAGGCUCUUCUACUUUGGUGGGUGGCUCUGCUGGUUUCUGCUCUUCUUCCUCUAUUUCUUCUCCCAGAACAUCCUCUUCGUUUGCUUCUUCUUCAGCGUGCUCCUCCAGGUAGGCCUGCAGCCUGUUGAUCAGGUCCUGCUUGUUGCCCUUCGCCUCCAGCCCACGGGCGAGGCAUUCCUGCUUCAGCUCGGCCAACUUCAACUUGUGGAGCUCCACAGUCUCCGCCGCCAUCUUGUCG